rnacentral:rRNA from 1 species
UACGUAGGGUGCGAGCGUUAAUCGGAAUUACUGGGCGUAAAGCGUGCGCAGGCGGUUUUGUAAGCCAGAUGUGAAAUCCCCGGGCUUAACCUGGGAAUGGCAUUUGGGACUGCAAGGCUUGAGUGCGGCAGAGGAGACUGGAAUUCCAGGUGUAGCGGUGAAAUGCGUAGAUAUCGGGAGGAACACCAGUGGCGAAGGCGACUUCCUGGCCUGUUCUUGACGCUGAGGCGCGAAAGCUAGGGUAGCAAACGGG